rnacentral:rRNA from 1 species
GAUCCGCGGAUAUCUGAAUGGGGCAACCCCACGGGUGCAGACCCGUGACUCCGUAAAGGAGAGGAACCCGGUGAAGUGAAACAUCUCAGUAGCCGGAGGAAAAGAAAUCGAAGAGAUCCCCCCAGUAGUGGUGAGCGAACAGGGGCCAGCCUAAACCCCCGCAGUGCAAGGCAGCAGCCGUUGCUGCGGAGGGAGUUGCGGGACAGUCGAGGAAGCGCUGCUGAGCUUCCGCAGAGUAAGAAAAGCUCGGGUUAGUCGAAUCGUGUUGGAAAAGCGAGCCGCAGAACGUGAAAGCCGCGUAGACGAAAACCCGAUCCCUCUGAAGACCGAAUCCCAAGUAGAGCGGAGCACGAGAAAUUCCGUUUGAAUCCGGGCCGCCCAUGGUCCAAGGCUAAAUACUGUAAGUGACCGAUAGCGCAUAGUACCGAGAGGGAAAGGUGAAAAGCACCCCGGGAGGGGAGUGAAAGAGACCUGAAAUCGUAUGCCUACAAGCAGUUGGAGCUGGAAAUACAGCGAUGUAUGGAAAGUGACAGCGUGCCUAUUGAAAAAUGAGCCGGCGAGAUAUUGCAUGCAGCGAGGUUAAGGGAUGAAGUUCCGGAGCCGAAGCGAAAGCGAGUUCGAAGAGAGCGCGAAGUUGCCUGCAAUAAACCCGAAGCCUGACGAUCUAGCCAUGGGCAGGUUGAAGUGGGGGUGAAACCCCAUGGAGGACCGCACCAGUGCCUGUUGAAAAAGUCUUGGAUGACCUGUGGUUAGGAGUGAAAAGCUAAUCGAGUUAGGUAAUAGCUGGUUCUCCCCGAAAUGCAUUGAGGUGCAGCCUUGAUGGAUUCGUGACGGAGGUAGAGCGACUGACAGCUCAAGCGGUCCUGGGGGAUUUGCGCGAGCCAUCAAACUCCGAAUGCCGCCACGUAGAAAUCAGGAGUGAGACCGCGGGUGAUAAGGUUCGUGGUCGAAAGGGAAACAGCCCAGAUCAUCAGCUAAGGCCCCGAAGAGCAUGCUAAGUGUGACAAGGAUGUAGGGACCCCGAAACAGCCAGGAGGUUGGCUCAGAAGCAGCCAUCCUUUAAAGAGUGCGUAACAGCUCACUGGUCGAGGACCCCCGCGCCGAAAAUGUAGGGGGCUAAGCAUGCCGCCGAAGCUAUGGGAUAGAGCAAUCUAUCGGUAGGGGAGCGUAGUCAGCGGGACGAAGCGAAAUUGUAAAGUUUCGUGGACAGCUGAGUAGUGAGAAUGCCGGCAUGAGUAACGACAUAUUUGCGAGAAUCAAAUACACCGGAAGACCAAGGAUUCCUGGGGAAGGUUGAUCCGCCCAGGGUAAGGCGGGGCCUAAGUCAAGGCUGAAAAGCGUAGAUGAUGGACAGCAGGUUGAAAUUCCUGCCCCGCGAUAAGUUCGCUACGACCGAAGCAGCGACGCAGAAAGCUAGACAGGCCGGCUGAUGGAAGAGCCAGUCCAAGGAAGCAGGCUGGGGCGACAGUCAAGCACAUCGCCCCGUCAAGGCCGAGAUCCGAGAGGGAGCCUCAUUUCGAGGCGAAGCUGUUGAAGCUCCGCUGCCAGGAAAACCUGCUAGGGAGAACUUAUGGCGCCCGUACCCGAAACCGACACAGGUGGUCAAGCUGAGCAAGCUAAGGUGAGUGGAAUAACUCUCGUUAAGGAACUCUGCAAGUUAACUCCGUAACUUAGGGAGAAGGAGUGCUGCCCCCGUCAAUCGUAAGGUGAAGCGGGGAGCAGCCACAGAAACCAGGCUCAAGCGACUGUUUACCAAAAACACAGGACUCUGCAUAAGACGCAAGUCGAAGUAUAGAGUCUGACGCCUGCCCGGUGCUGGAAGGUUAAAUGGAAGAGUGAGCCGCAAGGCGCAGCUUGGAAAUGAAGCCCCAGUAAACGGCGGCCGUAACUAUAACGGUCCUAAGGUAGCGAAAUUCCUUGUCGGGUAAGUUCCGACCUGCACGAAUGGCGUAACGAUUUGAGCGCUGUCUCAACGAGAGAUCCAGUGAAAUUGUGGUACCGGUCAAGACGCCGGUUCCCCGUGGUAGGACGGAAAGACCCCAUGGAGCUUUACUGUAGCCUGAUACUGAUAUUUGAAAUCACAUGCACAGGAUAGGUGGGAGGCGGAGAAGAGAGAGCUUUGGCUUUCUUGGAGCCAUCGUUGGGAUACCACUCUUGUGAUUUCGAAUGUCUAACUUUAGCGUCUGAAUCGACGAAGAGGACACAGUCAGGCGGGCAGUUUGACUGGGGCGGUCGCCUCCCAAAGAGUAACGGAGGCGCGCAAAGGUCAACUCAUGGCGAAUGGAAACCGCCAAGAGAGCGCAAGGGUAUAAGUUGGCUUAACUGCGAGAGAGACAUUUCGAGCAGAGACGAAAGUCGGUCCUAGUGAUCCGGCGGUGCUGAAUGGAAAGGCCGUCGCUCAUCGGAUAAAAGCUACCCUGGGGAUAACAGGCUGAUCUCCCCCGAGAGUUCCCAUCGACGGGGAGGUUUGGCACCUCGAUGUCGGCUCGUCGCAUCCUGGGGCUGUAGCAGGUCCCAAGGGUUGGUCUGUUCGCCCAUUAAAGCGGUACGCGAGCUGGGUUCAAAACGUCGUGAGACAGUUUGGUCCCUAUCCACCACGGGCGCAAGAUAUUUGAGGGGAGCUGCUCCUAGUACGAGAGGACCGGAGUGGACGUACCACUGGUGUAUCUGUUGUGGCGCCAGCCGCAUCAGCAGAGUAGCCAAGUACGGCCCGGAUAACCGCUGAAGGCAUCUAAGCGGGAAACCGCCCCCAAGAUGAGAUAUCUCAUACCAGAAGGUAGUAAGGUGUCCCCGAGACGAGGGGUUCGAUAGGCCGGGAAUGGAAGCGUUGCGAGACGUUGAGUUAACCGGUACUAAUACACCGAGGCCUUAACCUG